rnacentral:misc_RNA from 1 species
AUUGGAACGGUACAGAGGCUCACAUGCAUUAAUAAUUAACUAAAAUGGCUGUCGCCAUCUUUCUAUUCCAUCCAAGUGAAACUCACAAUGUUAUCACAAUCCCACACAAAUAUAUAAUCCUCAGCAUCAACUUCAUAAUAACUAAAAUAACAGUUCUGCAUCUCAUAUAAAAGGGGAUAUGAAGAUCCAGCUGCUGUACAUGCUAAGGUAGAAGCAAUUGCUUCGCCUUCUUUAACCAAAUAUUGUAGAUGUCAUCCGAGAAAAGAACGAAAUGUAUCUCUUUCAAGUCAUCUGCAAAUUCUUUGACAGUGGAUGUAGCCACUGCAGCAGCUUCCUCAUAAGGAUAUCCAUAAACACCACAAGAUAGAGCAGGAAAUGCAAUAUACUUGAUGUUGU